GAUGAACGCAGGCGGCGUGCCUAAUACAUGCAAGUCGAGCGAACAGAUGAGAAGCUUGCUUCACUGAUGUUAGCGGCGGACGGGUGAGUAACACGUGGGUAACCUACCUAUAAGACUGGGAUAACUCCGGGAAACCGGGGCUAAUACCGGAUAAUAUUUUGAACCGCAUGGUUCAAUAGUGAAAGACGGUUUCGGCUGGCAGUUAUAGAUGGAACCGCGCCGUAUUAGCUAGUUGGUAAGGUAAUGGCUUACCAAGGGGACGAUACGUAGCCGACCUGAGAGGGUGAUCGGCCACACUGGAACUGAGACACGGUCCAGACUCCUACGGGAGGCAGCAGUAGGGAAUCUUCCGCAAUGGGCGAAAGCCUGACGGAGCAACGCCGCGUGAGUGAUGAAGGUCUUCGGAUCGUAAAACUCUGUUGUUAGGGAAGAACAAAUUUGUUAGUAACUGAACAAGUCUUGACGGUACCUAACCAGAAAGCCACGGCUAACUACGUGCCAGCAGCCGCAGUAA
rnacentral:rRNA from 1 species